ACGCUGAACACACCGGUUCUCGUUCAAUCACUGAAGUUAAGCAACGUCAAACCUGUUCCGUACUUAGAUGGAUAACCGCUUUGGAAUACCAGGUGCUGUAA